rnacentral:rRNA from 1 species
ACUCCAGUCGAUGCUGCUGGAGGAUACUGCUAUCAGAUUUCGACAGCCAUGCAAGUCAGCUCAGCCACUUGGUUGGGCGGCACACGGCUCAGUAACGCGUGGUCAAUCUACCGUAAAGAAGGGAAUACCCUCGGGAAACUGAGGCUAAUGCCAUAUAGGUUAGGAAUUCUGGAAUGAGUCCUAAUCGAAAGGGUAGUGAAUUGGAGCUUUACCGCUUUACGAUGAGACUGCGUCGGAUCAGGCAGAUGGCGGGGUAACGGCCCACCAUACCUUUGACCCGUAGGGGAUAUGAGAGUAAGAGCCCCGAGAAGGGCACUGAGACAAUGGCCCUAGCGCUACGGCGUGCAGCAGGCGCGCAAACUCCACAAUGCGCAUACGCGUGAUGGGGGGAAUCUGAGUGGUUGACUUCGGUUAACCUUUUGCCAAGUUUAGCAAGCUUGGAGAAUAAGUGCUGGGUAAGACCGGUGGCAGCCGCCACGGUAAUACCGGCGGCACAAGUGGUAUUCACAAUUAUUGGGCUUAAAGCGUUAGUAGCCGGCCUGAACAGUCUUGUGUGAAAUAUUGGCGCAUGACGUCAAUACGUGCAUAAGAUACCUUCAGGCUAGGGAGUGGGAGACGUCAGGAGUAUUCAUGGGGUAAGGGUAAAAUCUCGUAAUCCUAUGAAGACUACCGGUGGCGAAGGCGCCUGACGAGAACACAUCCGACGGUGAGUGACGAAGGCUAGGAGAACGAAUCGGAUUAGAUACCCGAGUAGCCCUAGCAGUAAAUUAUGCAGACUCUGGUGUUGCGCCUAUCACGAAUAGGCGCAGUACCGUAGGACAACUGUUAAGUCUGCCGCCUGGGGAGUACGGCCGCAAGGUUGAAACUUAAAGCAAUUGGCGGGGGAGCACACAAGGGGUGGAUGCUACGGUUCAAUUGAAUUCUACGUCGGGAACUUUACCUGGAGCGACGGCAGUGUGAAGGUCAGACUAAAGAUCUUGCCAGACGAGCCGAGAGGUGGUGCAUGGCGAUCGUCAGUUCGUGGUGUGAACUAUCCGGUUAAGUCCGGUAACGAACGAGAUCCUCGUUGACAGUUGCUACUGUUCCAGCGAUGGGGCAGGCACUCUGUCGAGACCGCCUACGUUUAAGUAGGAGGAAGGAGAGGGCGACGGUACGUCAGUAUGCCCCGAAUCUCCAGGGCUACACGCGGCAUACAGAGGUUGGCACAAUGGGUUGCUACCCAGAAAUGGGACGCUAAUCCCCCAAAGCCAAUCCAGGUCCGAAUUGAGGGUUGAAACUCACCCUCAUGAAGUUGGAAUCCCUAGUAAUCGCGUGUCACCAACGCGCGGUGAAUAUGUCCCCGCUCCUUGCACACACCGCCUGCCAAGUCAUCCAAGUGGGGCCUUAGUGACGCAGCGUCCUUGUGGCGCUUUCGAACUAAGGUUCUGUGAGGGGGGCUAAGGCAUAACAAGGUAUCCGUAGGGGAACCUGUGGAUAGAUCACCUCAA